AUGCGAAAAGAGAUGACGGAAAGGAAGCGUUUUGCUACCACAAUGAAUGCAUAAUCUCCACAGCCAUUCUUGUGCAAAUCUAAGAACAACGCUGAUCUCAAUGAACUGACCCCUUACCUUCCCCAUCCAUAUUGCUCCUUAUCUCCAAUCCACUCUCCUCCCCCUCUGCUUCCUGUUCUCCUUUUGAUUCUUUAUCUCCUCUUCUUGC
rnacentral:lncRNA from 1 species